rnacentral:rRNA from 1 species
AUUGAACGCUGGCGGCAGGCUUAACACAUGCAAGUCGAGCGAGCGGCGGACGGGUGAGUAAUGUCUGGGAAACUGCCUGAUGGCGGGGGAUAACUACUGGAAACGGUAGCUACUACCGCAUACCAUCAGAUGUGCCCAGAUGGGAUUAGCUAGUAGGUGGGGUAAAGGCUCACCUAGGCGACGAUCCCUAGCUGGUCUGAGAGGAUGACCAGCCAUACUGGAACUGAGACACUGUCCAGACUCCGACGGGAGGCAGCAGUGGGGAAGAUUGCACAAUGGGCGCAAGCUUGAUGCAGCCAUGCAGCGUGUGUGAAGAAGGCCUGCGGGUUGUAAAGCACUUUCAGCGAGGAGGCGUUACUCGCAGAAGAAGCACCGGCGAACUCCGUGCCAGCAGCCGCGGUAAUAC